CUGCGGGUAGGAGCGGGUGACAGUCUUGCAGGGCGGGAAGGCAGUCGGUUUCUGAGUCAUUCUGUCACUUGAGUUCAGGUAUCCUCCAGCCUCCGUCCUGCAGCCGGGAAUGUGAACUGAAAGGGGUACUGUGUCCUCUCUUAAAGUUUAGUUGGUGCACAGGUGAAUACCACGCAGACGAGGACAUUCACUGGGCUGUUGCAGCCCUGCAGAGGUGCUCACAGGCCUGCCUUGUGACUUGACAACUUGUUUGAACAUGCCAGGCCCACCGGCUCUCAGGUCUUUCUCCUUUGAGAUGUCAGAGCAACACACUGUGCCCCAGCAGAGCUGGGGAGUUCAGCCAGCUGUUUCCUUCCACUGUCCUCAUGGCAUGUCAGAUUAGUUACUUCCAAUGGAGAGUUAAGUGCAAGUUCCUCAGCUGCUAAGUGAAGUCAGCCAUAUAAUGAGACACCAACAUCAAAUGCUUUCACUGACAAUUUGGAAUCUGAAAAAAG